AACGAACGCUGGCGGCAUGCCUAACACAUGCAAGUCGAACGAAGCCUUCGGGCUUAGUGGCGCACGGGUGCGUAACGCGUGGGAAUCUGCCCUUGGGUUCGGAAUAACAGUUAGAAAUGACUGCUAAUACCGGAUGAUGUCUUCGGACCAAAGAUUUAUCGCCCAGGGAUGAGCCCGCGUAGGAUUAGGUAGUUGGUGGGUAAAGGCCUACCAAGCCGACGAUCCUUAGCUGGUCUGAGAGGAUGAUCAGCCACACUGGGACUGAGACACGGCCCAGACUCCUACGGGAGGCAGCAGUGGGGAAUAUUGGACAAUGGGGAAACCCUGAUCCAGCAAUGCCGCGUGAGUGAUGAAGGCCUUCGGUCGUAAAGCUCUUUACCUAGGG
rnacentral:rRNA from 1 species